UGAGGGCCCUUUGGGUCCAACCUCCCACCCGUGUUUAUUUUACCUUGUUGCUUCGGCGGGCCCGCCUUUACUGGCCGCCGGGGGGCUCACGCCCCCGGGCCCGCGCCCGCCGAAGACACCCCCGAACUCUGUCUGAAGAUUGAAGUCUGAGUGAAAAUAUAAAUUAUUUAAAACUUUCAACAACGGAUCUCUUGGUUCCGGCAUCGAUGAAGAACGCAGCGAAAUGCGAUACGUAAUGUGAAUUGCAAAUUCAGUGAAUCAUCGAGUCUUUGAACGCACAUUGCGCCCCCUGGUAUUCCGGGGGGCAUGCCUGUCCGAGCGUCAUUGCUGCCCUCAAGCCCGGCUUGUGUGUUGGGCCCCGUCCUCCGAUUCCGGGGGACGGGCCCGAAAGGCAGCGGCGGCACCGCGUCCGGUCCUCGAGCGUAUGGGGCUUUGUCACCCGCUCUGUAGGCCCGGCCGGCGCUUGCCGAUCAACCCAAAUUUUUAUCCAGGUUGACCUCGGAUCAGGUAGGGAUACCCGCUGAACUUAAGCAUAUCA
rnacentral:rRNA from 1 species